CUAUGCUUAGCCCUAAACCCAGACAGAUAACUAAACAAAUCUGUCCGCCAGAGAACUACUAGCAACAGCUUAAAACUCAAAGGACUUGGCGGUGCUUUACAUCCCUCUAGAGGAGCCUGUUCUAUAAUCGAUAAACCCCGAUACACCUCACCACCCCUUGCUAAUCCAGCCUAUAUACCGCCAUCCU
rnacentral:rRNA from 1 species